rnacentral:rRNA from 1 species
UACGAAGGGGGCUAGCGUUGCUCGGAAUCACUGGGCGUAAAGCGCACGUAGGCGGAUUGCUAAGUCAGGGGUGAAAUCCUGGAGCUCAACUCCAGAACUGCCCUUGAUACUGGCGGUCUCGAGUCCGGGAGAGGUGAGUGGAACUGCGAGUGUAGAGGUGAAAUUCGUAGAUAUUCGCAAGAACACCAGUGGCGAAGGCGGCUCACUGGCCCAUAUCUGACGCUCAGGCGCGACAGCGUGGGGAUCAAACAGG